GAAUCUAUUGGGCUUCGCACCAUGAACUUUUCCUGAACACCACAGAAAUAUAAUAACACUAUUAAGGUUUGAGAAAGUCAUGGAAUCAGGUUCACACCAAGUUGAUAAAAUUAUUUACUGACCUCAUCAAAAAACCCGUGCCUGGGUGAUGGCUUGCGGAGGCCUGAAGGCUUGGAACUUGUUGGUGUUCCUCCAAAUGAUGAAAAUGAUUUACUGACAUCGUCAAAAAACCCAUGCCUAGGUGAUGGCAUGCGGAGGCCUGAAGUCUUGGAACUGCCUGGUGUUCCUACUUGAUUUUUGGGAAUUUUUAGGUCCUCCGGGAUUCUUGUUAAUAAUUAUUUU
rnacentral:lncRNA from 1 species